rnacentral:lncRNA from 1 species
GGAAAACCAACGGUCUAAUCUAUAUAACAAAACGAGAAACAAGAAACACAUAUAAAUUACAUAAACAAACGACAACUACUGUACAUCAGAUUCCUGACAUAGGACAGGUGCAAACAUUUGCCAUGGGAUUAAACGCUUUAAUUGUACCAAACCUUCUCCCUUUUUCUGAAACAAUAGUAUAACAUCACAACAUAGAAAAACACAUGAUAAAAUAUCAAUUGGAAGGC